GGCCUCUUAACUCAAGUAAUUUCUCAAAAAAUUGUUCUAAAAUAGCUAAGGGAUAAUACAUUUAUAAAAGCAUCAUGAUUUGACUAAAUAUACAUUCAUCAUAGUAUGUUGAAAU